rnacentral:lncRNA from 1 species
GAACCAAUUCAUUUCCCCUUCCACCUCUCUUCUCUCUGAGUUUUCUCCUACAGCCGCCGCCGAGAAUCACCCUACGAGGUCGCGAAACUCCAAUUGCCUCAAAUUUUCUACCAGAAUAUCACUGUCGCACCUCCUUUUUCCUGCAGGCGAACGCCAAGGGAGUUUUUCCAAUUAAAGGACAAUCAAAACGGGAUUAUUUGUUAAAUAUUCAGAGUUGCCACUUGGAAAAUUUAUGGUGUCCCAAGUAACCGGUUAAAUCCCGAAUCGAGGAAAAGAAUGACUCUGUUUAACAGUCCACGCACCAAAAAUCCGGAUAAGGAAUUAUGUUAACUCGGGAGAAGGUGUUAGGCAUUCCCGAGUUUCGUGGUUCUAGCACGGUCGCUCAACUGUCAUAUUUAGCUUAUUUAUCUGAUGUUAUUACAUGAAGAACCUAUGUGCUAAUUUUACUUUUUACCGCUUUUAUUCAAUAUAUAUUUAUUCGAGAAAGUUAACGUCGUUUAAAGUGUGCUUUCAAAUUGCACCGCCUGAGCCCGCAAUCCUAGGCAAACUCUACCCAACAUUUUAGGAUUUGGAUUUGGGCCGCAUAAAAUUCCCACCCGAGUUUAGGGAAGAUAACAUUAUUAAGUACGCGCCUAAAGAUGCUAAUGCGUUAUUAUUUUUUAGAAGACCGUAAAAUUCCUUAAAGGUCCAUCCCAGAGUCUAAGGAUCGAUUUGAGAUUAAAUAAAACGAGGGCCAUGAGAUAGUCACUUUGGUUUGGCAUGGCACACCUCCAAUUAUUUAAAGGAAAAACAUUCAACCA